GGAAGAGGAAGUAGACAUCAUCAGAGAGUUUCCAAGGCCCCUCAAUGAGUCACCAGCCGAUUUCUCAACUCAGAGCCUCGUGCUGUGUCACUAGGUUCCCCAUCCUCAGCUUCUGAGAGCUGCAGACAUGGGGUAGCCCUGUGACACUCCCCCACACAUGUCCUCUGUCACCCACGUGUGGGCCCUAGUUUCCUUCCCAGACAGCAACUACAGCCAGACAUGCUGAGGCCUGCAGAAUUUCUCUUCCCACAUGAAUGACUGGGCCACUCUAUGCACAGCACAGCCCUGUGAGUGUUUGUCUCACUGCACCGGAAACACCACCAUGGAUUCCUUUUCUCAUUCCCUGGGCUGCUGACCUCAAAAAUAUGCAUCUCAACUCUAGAAGAUGUUGGCAAUCUGUGUUGUCCUUCCCACUCAACAGAGCUGAGCUGGCAAGCCUGUCCAGGGGAGCAUUGUCUCAGCAACCACCUGGAUGUCAUACAUGUUCUCCCCCAUUCACCCCGAAGACAUUCUCUUCUUUUUCACAAAGGUCCCUUGGGAACCAGCAGGGGUAGAGAGCAUGGCUCAGUUAACACUGGCCCAUGGUCCAUGCUCACAGCAUGAGUGAAAUCUUGUUAACCCCACAGGUGCAGGAGUCUGUGUGGGGCCCAGCCCUCAUCCCUCUUCCUGUAACUAAGCUUCAUUUUCUGCAUUUGUCACCCAGCAAACCCAC
rnacentral:lncRNA from 1 species